GGAGGCAGGAAUUGGUGGUGGUGGUAUUUUUAAAGAUGUCAUGGAGAACAUUACACGGGCAGCCUUUGACGUGCAGUAUGGUUUAUUUAAGCAAAUUGCUGACCAUUUGCUCUACCCCAAUCCUGGUUCGGGAAUGAUACAUGAGCAACAUCUCCAGUUUUUCCAUUUCCUCGAAGUUCUUUUGGCAAAGGUCAUGUUUGAAGGAAUUCUUGUUGAUAUACUUUUUGCAACAUUCUUCUUGAGCAAGUUAAAACAGAAGUAAGGUUUUUAAAGAUUUACUGUCUUACUGUUUUGUAUUUUGUGCUGAUCCACU